rnacentral:rRNA from 1 species
GUGCACGCUGGCGGUAGGCCUCACACCUGCCAGUCGAACGGCAGCACAGUAAGAGCUUGCUCUUACGGGUGGCGAGUGGCGGACGGGUGAGGAAUACAUCGGAAUCUACUUUUUCGUGGGGGAUAACGUAGGGAAACUUACGCUAAUACCGCAUACGACCUACGGGUGAAAGCAGGGGAUCUUCGGACCUUGCGCGAUUGAAUGAGCCGAUGUCGGAUUAGCUAGUUGGCGGGGUAAAGGCCCACCAAGGCGACGAUCCGUAGCUGGUCUGAGAGGAUGAUCAGCCACACUGGAACUGAGACACGGUCCAGACUCCUACGGGAGGCAGCAGUGGGGAAUAUUGGACAAUGGGCACAAGCCUGAUCCAGCCAUACCGCGUGGGUGAAGAAGGCCUUCGGGUUGUAAAGCCCUUUUGUUGGGAAAGAAAAGCAGCAGGUUAAUACCCCGCUGUUCUGACGGUACCCAAAGAAUAAGCACCGGCUAACUUCGUG